AGUGAACGCUGGCGGUAGGCCUAACACAUGCAAGUCGAACGGCAGCACAGUAAGGGCUUGCUCUUACGGGUGGCGAGUGGCGGACGGGUGAGGAAUACAUCGGAAUCUACUUUUUCGUGGGGGAUAACGUAGGGAAACUUACGCUAAUACCGCAUACGACCUACGGGUGAAAGCAGGGGAUCUUCGGACCUUGCGCGAUUGAAUGAGCCGAUGUCGGAUUAGCUAGUUGGCGGGGUAAAGGCCCACCAAGGCGACGAUCCGUAGCUGGUCUGAGAGGAUGAUCGGCCACAUUGGAACGGGGACACGGUCCAGACUCCUACGGGAGGCAGCAGUGGGGAAUAUUGGACAAUGGGCGCAAGCCUGAUCCAGCCAUACCGCGUGGGUGAAGAAGGCCUUCGGGUUGUAAAGCCCUUUUGUUGGGAAAGAAAAGCAGCAGGUUAAUACCCCGCUGUUCUGACGGUACCCAAAGAAUAAGCACCGGCUAACUUCGUG
rnacentral:rRNA from 1 species